CUCUCUAUCUCUCUCUGUCUCUCUGUCCCUCUCUAACCCACACUGCCCAAAUAACAAUUGGCUCCCUUUUUCUUAAGCCAAAGCUUUAGCAUGGGAGGGUGGUGACUUCAGUGACUGAGCUUGAUUCUUAACUCCACCAUUGCACCAAAGGACCAUUUCAAGCACCACCUUCCUGGCAAUGUGCUGUUGCUGGGAAGAUGCUCACUUGAUGUAUCACUGGUUUUGUGUCUAGGUCGGCUGGAUCAGGUGGCUGCUUCCCAGUCACUGGUGUGAGAAGUCUCUCUAUGGAUCUGGUCUGUUCCUGUCUGCAUUCCAGACUCUACUGGAGGAGCAAUUCUCCCUGCAAAGGUAACAGACAAGGUGACCUUAUGGGGAAAACAUGCUGUGGAGCUUGCUAUGUAGGGUGGUAUUUUUGUUUUUUAACAAUUCAUGAUCAAUAGCUUACCAAUCUUCUGUCAGUAAAUGGUAGAUCAUGAAGCAAGGAGACUUGGGAGGAGACCUGGGCAAGGUGUGAGGCAGGUGCAGAUGCAACUUUGAUUACAGGUGUUCUGGCAACUUAGAAAGUUCAGUGUCUAUGUUUGCUUGCUUUCCGAUUGGCAGAUGCAACAAAACCAUUGUCCGAGGCUGCCUCUGUUCCAAGGCCAGAAUUGAUUUGCAUUCCCAUAGCUGUUACUCACUUUCUAUUUUUGCAGAUCAUGGUGCAAGACUGUAGGUUUCCCCCCUUGCAAAGUUAAGCAACAGUGACACAAUUAUUCAAGGUAGGCAAAUCUGAUAGAUAAAAAUGGAGCAGCCAGAAAUACUUUUGAAAUCUGAAGGCUUGUUUGUUCUGUUGUUAAAAAUAGUUACUAACUGUUUCUUGCUCAGGAAAUCAGGGUUGUUGUUUUUUGGGGGGGAGGGGGAGGGCAGAUUGCUAUUGUGCAGAGCAUGAUGUGACAUAAAACCAGUGCAUUUUCGGUGUUUUGCUUCUCUUCCGAAAGCUCAACAACUUCACAACCUUUUCUAGAAGAAAAGCACUGCAUAAAACCAUUGUGGAGAUGUGGGAGUAGGCCUCCUGUGAUCGUUGCUUAUCUCCUUCAAAUACAGCUUGGAACUGUCCAUCCUAUUGAGAAGCCCCAGGUGGAGACCACAGCCCCAUUGGCUGCAUCCAUACUAUAUUACAUUGGACCCUUCCGUCUGAAGCAUGAGUGCUAUGUCCUGCUACACAUUUGAGACACUGACCCUGUGCACUUGGUGGCGUCAAAGUUUCCAGGGCAGCUGUGAGGUAAGGACAUGCAAAUCCAUUUCCCCUCUUUCUAUAGAAUGCCAUAAACAUGCUCCUUCACAAGUUCCUUUACAUGCAAAAAUGGAAAUGUGUGGACUACUGGGAAAGCUCAGGUGAGGGCAGAUUUAACCUGAGUGUGUGAUGCUAAGAUACUGCACUGCAGUUCUUCUGGAGGUUGCAUAAUGGAAAUGUCAAGAUUCAUAUCUGGCAUACCUGCCAAGUUCCUGCCUGAAAA